GGUCAAGUAGAAAAGGGCGCACGGUGAAUGCCUAGGCACUAAAAGCCGAUGAAGGACGUGACGAACUACGAAAAGCUUCGGGGAGCGGUAAGUACGCAGAGAUCCGGAGAUGUCCGAAUGGGGGAACC
rnacentral:rRNA from 1 species